AUUGAACGCUGGCGGAAUGCUUUACACAUGCAAGUCGAACCGCAGCACGGACUUCGGUCUGGUGGCGAGUGGCGAACGGGUGAGUAACAUAUCGGAACGUAUCCAAUAAUGGGGGAUAACGAGUCGAAAGAUUCGCUAAUACCGCAUACGCCCUACGGGGAAAAGCUGGGGACCUUCGGGCCUGGCGUUAAUGGAGCGGCCGAUAUCUGGUUAGCUAGUUGGUGAGGUAAAGGCUCACCAAGGCGACGAUCAGUAGCUGGUCUGAGAGGACGACCAGCCACACUGGAACUGAGACACGGUCCAGACUCCUACGGGAGGCAGCAGUGGGGAAUUUUGGACAAUGGGCGCAAGCCUGAUCCAGCCAUUCCGCGUGAGUGAAGAAGGCCUUCGGGUUGUAAAGCUCUUUCGCAAGGGAAGAAAACUUAGCCACUAACAUUGGUUGAGGUUGACGGUACCUUGAUAAGAAGCACCGGCUGACUACGUGCCAGCAGCCGCCGUAA
rnacentral:rRNA from 1 species